CUCUUUUUUAAUACAAAAUCAAAAGAGCUCUUGUAAAAAAAAGUAAUUUUUAGGCUGCAAUAAACUAUCAAAAACCCAUUUUGGAAGGAUGUUACAAUGGCCUGAUCAGAAUAUAAUGGCAUUCUCAAGCCACAAAAUAGUAAAGAAAUUCUAAAGGAACCAAUUUGGUUCAACAAGCAUAUCAAACUAGGCUAUAUAGAAUCCUGGCACAGAAAAGGUAUAUUUGUUAAAAAUCUCUUUAAUGAUAACGGUGAUCGCAUGCCAUUAGGUCAAUUAAAGGCAAAAUAUAAUAUAAAAGCCACCUUUAUCGAUGUAAUAGGGUUGCACAAAGCAAUUCCACAGGAUUGGUUGGAGCAAAUUACAAAUUCCAUUCUUCUCAACAUCGGUCCAUCAAUAUCACCUGCAGUCUAUUCUGUAUAUUGCAUCAAAAGGCUGUAAACAAUUUUACAACCUAUUUAAUAAAAAUCUAAAUAUAAAAAAUGUUGGUAGUCAAGAAAAAUGGUGUAAGGAAUUAAACAUCGUGCUGAAUAGUGAUGACUGGAAAUAUUUCUACAGCUUGCCUUUCCAGACUUCUACCGAUACUAAUCUUAGAUACUUUCAACUAAUACUGAUACUUCCGAAAUUUUACUUUUAGGCUUGUUACAGCCACCAAUCUAGUAAUUUCAUACCUUGCGUAUUAGGUAUUUUGAGACAACCCCUAUCACAAAACAAAGGUUUAGCAAAAAGUUUAUUGGAUCACAAAUAUUGGUAGGCUACUUCUAAACAAUACGGCGAAAUCAGAAUGGAAGUGAUAUAUAACCUAAUGCCCAAGAUAAUAACACAGUAAAAACUACAAGAAUCGUGAUUUUUGUCAUAUUUUUACAUAUGAAGCAGUCUAUUGUGUCUACAUCAAUCUUAUUCCAUUCAAACUACCAUUCACAUCUUGUAGAUAGGUACCCUGGGACACAUGCAAGAAACAGAAUGUCAAUAUCACCUUGCAUUUCCGAAGUUUAUCAUGAUAUACCCCUAUGCAUCUUAAUGCAUUAUGUUGGAUAUACUGUUUUUUUUUUAAUGGUCCCUGACGGAAAACGAAGCGAUUUAGCAAAAAUGUUUAUGUGACCUAAGUUUGACAUAUUGAAACAAGGAUCAUCAUGGUUUAAGAAUGGAAGCAGUGUCUUAAAAAAUGGUGAAGUUAUAAUGAGGAAAGACAUUUCAAAAUUAUCUUUUUGUGACCUUUGGCUAAAACAAUUUGCAACCUGAUUGUCUCUAUCUUGCUCCUGGGCCUCUAUUUAUACCCCCACCUAACUAGUUAAGGGUUAUAUAGCAAUCACCUUGUCCCGUUGCGUCCCGUCUAUGUCUAGUUCUGUAACUCGGUUAUUUUUUGGUUCGCUUUUGAUAAAACUUAGAUUUGAACACCUUUCAUGAAUAUAUAAACUAUAUGCGACAAUCAGCUGAUUCUACGCAUAUUAUUGAGUUGAGCUUGCAUCCGAUUGGUUGAAAUGGCUAGUGCUAUAACUCGGUUAUUUCUGCUCCUAUUUUGAUACAACCUGGGAUUUCAACACCUUUCAUGACCAUAUAAACCAUAUGCAACAAUCGGCUGAUUUCAUGCAUAUUAAUGAGUUCAGCUUGCAUCUGAUUGGUUGAAAUGGCUAGUGCUAUAACUCGGUUAUUUCUGCUCCCAUUUUGAUACAACCUGGGAUUUUAACACCUUUCAUGACUAUAUAAACCAUAUGCAACAAUCAGCUGAUAUCAUGCAUGUUAACGAGUUAAGCUUGCAUCUGAUCAACAUUGACCACCAUGAUAACAAGGUGAUUCGUGGGGGUAUGAAUCACGUCAGUGAUAGUUCUAGUUUCAAAUUGGAAAACACCUAUCCUCAUAAAACGCCAAAAAAAUUUCAUGCUUACCAACUUUGACUUGUUGUGAAUUUUAUUAUUUCAAAAAAUAGAUGAGGUAAAGAAGACUUUUUUAUGGACGGGCCUCCAGCUAUUAUUGUAAAAAAUAUUUUUCAAAAUACGUCAAUAAAUAAAUUUCGCAAGUCAGUUUUACUGGUUUCAUCACGUGGCUUUGUAGCUUUUAUACAAAAUAACAUUUGGUGGUCCUUGACUUGUGGCGUUGUGUAUAUGUACUACACUAAUGGUACAAGGAAAUUUACUAUACAUCAACCGAUGGUAAUGUAAUGUCAUGUUAUGAGACCUCUACAAAUUACCAUUCCUACAGUAUGUGUACAUCUGGCCAAUUUCUUUCUCUUUUGUGUUUUAGGCUGUUGAGCAAGACUCUGAAAUAGAAGUCUUGGCAAGUUGCGCCAUUUGUCAUCGCUGCACAACACAUGCGCAUCCUGUGGCUUUAUUACACCUGGUGGCUGCUGACGCCUACAAUCAUGGACUGAUUCUGCGCCAAUUUGGAGACCGUGAAGGCAUGAUGGAAGGUCAACUUGUUUGUGAAUUAUGUUCCCACUAUGUCUGUGCACGUACCAAACAACAUGCCAAAUCACCUGCCUGGAAACAUGCCUGGCCUGCAGUCAUCUGGACAUGCCUCACCAAACAGCAGUAUGCUGAUCCUUUCACGUUUAUGCAGUUUCUGGCUGAUGACCUGCGCACUUCCUGGAUGCAUGCUGUAGGUCAAUGGCUGCCAGCUAUGCGGCAAGCUCUGUGCAUUCAACCACAAUUUUCUGACACAACCAGAAAAAUGCGCACAUUUAAAGAAGACUUGGAUAGCGGCGAGCUUCGACGACUUAUGCGUGCUCCUGAUAAUGCCUGCCUCCCGGAGGUGCGCUGCCCCAUGGGUUGUUACCUGUACAUGGACGAUAGGGUUGAUUCAAAGUCUUCGAGCAGGAAGGCAGCAGUGGUGGGUUGUCAACUCUGCGCCUGUGCACACUUGCAAAAAAGUUCAACAUGACACAUGACAUUUGUUUGUCCAGUGGCCUAACACUGCAUCAUCGUCCAGACAUACUGCAGUAUGCCGUGCAAUAGCCAGUCUUUGAGGAAGGUGCUAUCGCUGCAACAUUGCAGGCCUACAAGACCCAAAAGAUGCUGGACGAAGUCAUAACUUAGUAUGCUGCAGCAGCUACCUUUAUCGAUGAAGAGGAUGCCUAUAUGGCCACUACAGCAUUUAAUUCGCAGGCCGCUGCAGCUGUUGGUCAUCUCCAAAUGCCGGCAGCAAAGACUCGCCCUCACGACUGUAUGCUCGUAGUCCAUCCGCAUAUUCCCAUUGGGCACAAAGCCUUCCCUAUGCCCAGAGGGCGAGCUACUCGAGCGAAUCCUAACUUGCCGAUGACUUGGUUGUUGUACGCCACCAUCCAGUCCUUGAUCCAUGUGCGCGUUUUGCAUACAUAUUUCCUUCAGUAUGUGUGGUCACAUGUAAAUUCUGCUGUACAGAAAGAUUUACUGAAAGUCGUCAAACAGUAUGCUGCAAAUUCGUUUAGCUUUAGUGUUAGUUUAGGAAUAUUAGUCUAGACAGGGGUGCAGAUCUGGUGUUAGACAUGUGGGUUAUGGCAGGUGUUUUGAGUAGACAAAGCGUUAGGCAGUUGUGUGUGAUUGGUCGAGGAGAAUUUUGAAAUGAGUAUGAUUGGUGGAGAGUUUGCAUAGAAAUAGAAAUUUGAAGAGAGGUCGGGAGUUGAGUUCUGGAUUCUGGGUGUUAGCGCGUACCGUUCGAGACCUGUAUUAGUUGUAAACAAUAUAUUCUUUUAGUGAACACAAAAUUUAUACUUCGUCUUUGAUUUUUUUACUCUAAAUUAUUUCAUUAAAAUCUCUUUGGUGUAACUUCAACGCUACAAUAGAUAUGAUGCUUCUAACCCUUCAGGAUGUUACAACAUUGUAGCCGAUCUGGAACACUCUCUAACUAGUUGUUUAACCGGCAGAUUACCCAUAUCACUCGUUCCACCAUCACAUUUUCAAAGUAUUUUACAUGGGAUUAAACAGGUUAUUCCGAACCCUGACUACGACUACCUCGCGAUGCCCAAACCCGUACACGAUACCAUUCUGUAUUACUAUAGCUUACUGCAGACAAUAGUUAUACCAGUUCAAAAUUCCUUUCACGUACUAACAUUUUUACUGCUUAAACAUGUUGGCCAAAUUUUUAAUAUAUUCCAAAUAUUACAAGUGCCAGAAUAUAUUAACGGCACCCAAGCUAGUGCUUAUUACGUACUUGACAAAGAGUACAUUGCAUUUGCUCAGGAUAAAACACGCAAUUUUUAUCCCGAAUCUAACCUAGUUCGUGAGUGCCUCUAUGAAACGCAUAUCUGUCAAGCAGAGUCGGAAAUUUACUAUGUGUGAGGUUCAAAAGAUUGUCUAGUGGCACUUUUUCUAAAACACACAUCUCACGUCCAAUCUUUUUGUCAACGUAGGGUCAUAUAAUCAUAAAGUAGUUUUAUUUUAUUAAUAAAUGCAUAAUAGUUUUUAUAUUUUCAGUAUUAGUCAGAACAAAUUGACGGCUAUUAUCAAGCAUUACAAAGAAAAUGGACUUGCACUCUGAUUUAAAAAGUCAGUCAAACGGCACUUCAAACCCAAGACUUCUCCGUCACGAGGAUAUUGAGCGAGUCGUUUCAUUUAUCGUGAAUUUCGCUGAGGCACAUGGACUUGUACUGUCAGGAAGGAUACCAGGAUAAACGCUUUGAUAUAAAGCUCCUUCCAUCGCAUGAGACAAAGGCAUCUGUUUGGCGAAAGUACAAAGUUGCUAUGGAAACUUUAGGCAAGUUAAAAUGUCAAAACUAACAAAUUCAAUUUAGAUCCCAUUCUCACAAUAUCCCAAACAAAGUCAUUAAAGUAGUUAAACUUAUCGCUAUCAGAUGAAGAGGUAUGCCCUAGUGAAUACCGGUAACUGUAUAGACACAGAUCUUAUAAACUGCAUAAUAGCCUAGUAUUUCUUAUUAUAUAUUUGUAGGUUUGCGUGCAGUCAAGGUACACUCGUUCAGAAAUCUGUGGCGGACCCUUACAUAGGCCAAUGACCGAUUUGUGUUGGAUCUGUCACAAAAAUAAUUCUACAGUGUAUAAUAGUGCAAAUAUGAACGAUGAGCAAAAAUCAGAGCAACUUAAGAAGCAAGAGCAUCUUUUGCAAGUCACAACUGAGCGAUCAGUCUACCAAGGACUUGGGGACUCAAAACGUGUCUUAGAGGACACAAACUGGCGGCUUGGACAGAGUGAACCCUGUUCCAAGUAUCUGUCCAUGCACUAUAGUUUUGACUUUGCCCAGCAGCUGCCUUAUCCAUCCGACCCAAUGCAACCAGUGCCAAUGUAUUUUUUGUGUCGGCGCAACUGUGGCUUGUUUGGAGUUUGUUGCGAGGCAUUUCUCCAGCAAGUGAACUACCUCAUCGAUGAGUCUGCUUGUAUCAGCAAAGGCUCAAAUGCUGUGAUAAAUUACAUCGAUAACUUUUUCUCCGAGUAUGGCUUGGGUAAGGUUUCCGUUCACUUGAAUUGUGAUAACUGUUCCGGACAGAACAAAAACAAUUACAUGCUGUGGUAUCUGUUGUGGAGAGUGAUUUGUGGAUAAAAUUUCCACAUCGAAAUGCACUUUCCCAUCACUGGCCACACAAAAUUUGCUCUGGAUUGGUGUUUCGGCUUGGUCAAGCAACGUUUCAGGCGAACACUUGUAUCUUGUCUAGAUGAUAUCGCGGAUGUAGUAAAUAUGAGUACUUUAAAAGGCAUCGAUGUAGCAGCCAAGGUUGGACUGGAAGACGGCGCGAGUGCAGCAGAGAAAUUGGCAGGAAUUCCUCGCCCCUUAUUUCAAGAAGCUGCCUGCCAUUAAAAAUUUCCAUCAUUUUAGGUAUGUACUCCAUCAAUAGUAUAGGCUAAAAUUAAUUAUUUUUAUCUGUAUUGCAGGACCUUUUUUCAGAUGAUCAUUGGUAAGGAAUUAGUUUACCUAUUAAAUAGACAUUCACAGGCAAUUCACAAGUAUAAUUUUUUAACACAAUUUAAUUCUUAUAUUUUGCAGGGUUGGAUCCGAGAGCCCAGGCACAGUUUACAUGCGCGAGUAUUCUGGUUCGAAAGAAGUUGCCUUCAAUAUCCUGAAGAAUGUGAAGAUUCUACCCCCGACUGAACGACCAGCCGAAUUACUACCUCCUGGUCUAGACGGGAAAAGGCAGACCUACCUCUACCAGAAAAUUAGAGUUUUGUACGGAUGUGACAAAAGACAUUACGUGCCCCCUCCCUGUCAACAUACUGGAAGAUAAUGACAGCAACAAUGAAGAACUGCCACUAGCUAUCUACAUAAAGCCGCCAGCAACGAAAAAAACUAGGAAAUUAACAGUGUGAACAU
rnacentral:misc_RNA from 1 species